ACUCCAGCUGAAAGACCCACGCCUCUGUGGACCCCAGCGCCGGGACAAAUCAGCUUUAACCCAUCAAACAGGAAAGCAGAAACGCAUUCAGAAGCGGGGCGAGGGGAAAAGAGGGGGAAGAGAAACAGAAGACCAGAAACUAAUCUCUGAUUCAGUACCAUUUCAAGGGCUUGAGAGGAGGCCCUGGUUUUGCUAAGGGCUUUUUUUCAAGAGUUGAAAGUCUUCUCUUCAAGCCGGCGGCACCAGAUCGCAAAACCCCCAACCUUGUGUACGACAUAAACACACCCCAGGCAACUCUCAACUGCAAGAGCUGGAAUCUGGUACUGGUACACUGACAGGAGACCCAGACGAUCCCACAGCCUGGGAAGAAGGGUCUGGGGCUCUGCAGAGCCAAAGGAAAGAGAGCAACCGGAUUUUCUAGAAGGCACAGUCUGCACAAGCGGCCAGCCGACAGGUCGCCUUGCUGAAGAAGCCACAUAACCUGAUAUAAGUCAGCUCUGGAUCUGUUCUCUCGCCCCACCCCCAGCUCCUGACUAUGGAAGGAAGAGAAGGAGGACGGCUCCUAGACACAGCUGGCAGGCUUCGUGGUUAAAGUAGAAUCUAUUCACUUGCAUUCUUUCGUAUUCGUGAAGUUGAGCCGUCCUGGAAGACAUGGGUGUCCAGUGGGCUGCUUGAAGCCAUGCAGCGCAGCAGGACUGUGGGGAUGGGCCCUUCGAUGACCUCGCCCUUUGAAAGACCACCAAUUUCCAGCCCUCCGAGCAGUAUUCUGAUUAUGAACUUGUUUUCCUUCUUCUAUUUAAGAGGUUUGGGGACCUUAGAUCUCAGAGCACAGGUAUCCGGAGAGUGUGGAGUCAGAAAAACAGCAAGAGGAAUGAAUAUCCAGGAAGCAAGUCAUCAAGCGGAGCCCACACACAGCAGGAAGCUGGGGCAGGAGGCAAGAUAAAGCUGUACCUCCUGGAGGGCCAAGUGUCUGCAUAACUGUCAUUCUUCUCCUGUGCUUGAAGAUCACAUGCAUCGCCAAGCUCGAGAUGAGAACAUGAGAUGACUCAGUGCAAAUCUUUGCCACAACUGGAACCAAGAGCACGUGUGGGACUCUGAGGAGGGCCUUGUCCUCCCCCUGUGCCUGAGUCACGAUCCUCAUGAAUGGACCACUCACCAUGCUGGACGUGGGAGAGUGUGGGUUUCUGUGGGGGAGUGUGUUCUGUAAAAUGGAAAUAUAAGAGAGCCAAACUCAGAAUCAUUUGAAGCCCGGUGAAAAGGAAUCUUAGGUUUUGUGUUUCCUGCCUUGGUAGAAAGAGAUCAGUCAGAGAAAAAAAGUUCAUAUCAAGAAUUUUUUUUUCCUUCAAAACCUGAAACAAACCAACCAUAAGUAAAACAGAGAAUUUCAAGCUUCAACUCAACUUACUUGUUUACUUCCUGUUCAUUCCAGAUUGUCAGGAAAAACAGAUCGUCAAAGUGGUACUCCAUGGUGUAUGUGUACUGAACUGCGUACAAGCCUAUGUCCUUGUGUUUUCAAGCAAAAACCUUUUCAUUUAAGCCUUUAGCCUCCCAGGCCUCAAGAUUUGAAAAUGAGGAAAUACUGAUACAGCUACAAACUAGUUGAAACAGUCUCCAUUAUGCUAGGACUUGCCUUGACCCACUAACUUACUCAAACUAGCCUUUCACAAAUGAUUUCCUCCUUGCUUAAUUGCUUUCUUUUACUAAUGAUUACUUUCUAGUUAAGGUUAUAUUGUAUGCCUAGUGUUUUCUUUUCCUUUGAGACACUCCCUAAGUCCCCAUUCCUUCCAUGAGCCAUCUUCUCUGCAGAGAGAAGGUCAAGGCGAGAUAACCCCAAAGACCACCAGAAACCAUCACUGGACACAUGACUUGAGCCUUGAUGAUUCUGAGGUGGUCUUUGGAGGGAGAAGAAUACAGGCACCUUGAUCCCUAUCAACAGCCCUUUUGUCUUCCAAGCUAAACCUAUAAAAAUCCCUUGCUAUCCCCUCUCAAGAGAGGACACUGUUUUUAGGGCAUUAGCCUGCUGUGGCCUCCUUUGCCUGGCAAAGCAAUAAAGUUGUCCUCUCUACU